UCAGCUCCUAGCAUCUCUGACUUCAUUUCAUAUGUACGAUGUAGGAAUGUUCAACUUAAUGUUACCUAACUGAACAUUUCUACUCAAUUAUCUUUUAGUCAAUUUUCAGGAAAACCCCUGAUAUCAAACCUGAACAGGAGGCAGCGAAUUACCUAGGAACAAGCAUCAAGAACUGAUCCCAAAUAAGUAAAGAGCAGGAGUAAAAAAGAGGCAGUCCUGAGAUGAUAUAUCUUAUUUCUGCAAUAUGACAUGACCACACCAGUCCUAUGAGCCUUUUAAAAGUAGGACAGAGUUAGAAGUCUGAACAUCAUAUACAAGGAGGAGGAUGUACCACUAUGAGCGAUCAGAGGAAAUUGGGACAACCCGCCCCAGGCCAUGGAAUACUUGCGUAGCACAGGGAUUCGGGCGCGUAUACAUCCCAUUUUUUCCCGACGCAAUUUCGGGCGCGUUUAGUUCAAAUGCAGACCAAACUAAAUGGAGCUUUGCAUAGAUAUACGUGUGAACUGUUUUAGUACAUCGCUUUGUUUUUGUAGUUGCAUUAAGUAAAAUUUGAGCUUAAUCUUCUGCAUAUUUAACCAAAUAUUUGACCAUAAACAGCCAUCAGUCUACUACUGUCAACUAUAUUUCGAAUAUCAAUCCCUCUAUUUAACUGAA